rnacentral:rRNA from 1 species
GACGAACGCUGGCGGCGUGCUUAACACAUGCAAGUCGAACGGAAAGGCCCUGCUUUUGUGGGGUGCUCGAGUGGCGAACGGGUGAGUAACACGUGAGUAACCUGCCCUUGACUUUGGGAUAACUUCAGGAAACUGGGGCUAAUACCGGAUAGGAGCUCCUGCUGCAUGGUGGGGGUUGGAAAGUUUCGGCGGUUGGGGAUGGACUCGCGGCUUAUCAGCUUGUUGGUGGGGUAGUGGCUUACCAAGGCUUUGACGGGUAGCCGGCCUGAGAGGGUGACCGGCCACAUUGGGAAUGGGAUACGGCCAGGACUCCUAGGGGGGGAAGGGGGGGGGAAUAGUGCAAAAGGGGGGGAAGCCUGAUGCAGAAACCCCGGGUGCGGGAGGACGGCCUUGGGGUGGUAAACCGCUUUCGCCUGUGACGAAGCGUGAGUGACGGAAAUGGGUAAAGAAGCACCGGCUAAAUACGU